GUUUGAUCCUGGCUCAGAGCGAACGUUAGCGGCAGGCUUAACACAUGCAAGUCGAGCGAGAAAGGGGCUUCGGCUCCGAGUAAAGCGGCGGACGGGUGCGUAACACGUGGAUAAUCUGCCUCGUGGCGGGGGACAACAGUCCGAAAGGACUGCUAAUACCGCAUGUCAGGUCGGAAACUCCGGUUUCUGACGAAAAAGAGGGCGUCCGCAAGGAGCUCUCACCACGAGAUGAGUCCGCGUCCCAUCAGCUAGUUGGCGGUGUAAUGGACCACCAAGGCUUAGACGGUAGCUGGUCUGAGAGGAUGACCAGCCACACUGGGACUGAGACACGGCCCAGACUCCUACGGGAGGCAGCAGUGGGGAAUAUUGGACAAUGGGCGAAAGCCUGAUCCAGCCAUGCCGCGUGAGUGAUGAAGG
rnacentral:rRNA from 1 species